AGUGAACGCUGGCGGUAGGCCUAACACAUGCAAGUCGAACGGCAGCACAGUAAGAGCUUGCUCUUACGGGUGGCGAGUGGCGGACGGGUGAGGAAUACAUCGGAAUCUACUUUUUCGUGGGGGCUAACGUAGGGAGACUUACGCUAAUACCGCAUACGACCUACGGGUGAAAGCAGGGGAUCUUCGGACCUUGCGCGAUUGAAUGAGCCGAUGUCGGAUUAGCUAGUUGGCGGGGUAAAGGCCCACCAAGGCGACGAUCCGUAGCUGGACUGAGAGGAUGAUCAGCCACACUGGAACUGAGACACGGUCCAGACUCCUACGGGAGGCAGCAGUGGGGAAUAUUGGACAAUGGGCGCAAGCCUGAUCCAGCCAUACCGCGUGGGUGAAGAAGGCCUUCGGGUUGUAAAGCCCUUUUGUUGGGAAAGAAAAGCAGCAGGUUAAUACCCCGCUGUUCUGACGGUACCCAAAGAAUAAGCACCGGCUAACUUCGUG
rnacentral:rRNA from 1 species